GAUGAACGCUGGCGGCGUGCCUAAUACAUGCAAGUCGAGCGAACAGACGAGGAGCUUGCUCCUCUGACGUUAGCGGCGGACGGGUGAGUAACACGUGGAUAACCUACCUAUAAGACUGGGAUAACUUCGGGAAACCGGAGCUAAUACCGGAUAAUAUAUUGAACCGCAUGGUUCAAUAGUGAAAGACGGUUUUGCUGUCACUUAUAGAUGGAUCCGCGCCGCAUUAGCUAGUUGGUAAGGUAACGGCUUACCAAGGCAACGAUGCGUAGCCGACCUGAGAGGGUGAUCGGCCACACUGGAACUGAGACACGGUCCAGACUCCUACGGGAGGCAGCAGUAGGGAAUCUUCCGCAAGAGGCGAAAGCUUGACGGAGCAACGCCGCGUGAGUGAUGAAGGUCUUCGGAUCGUAAAACUCUGUUAUUAGGGAAGAACAAAUGUGUAAGUAACUAUGCACGUCUUGACGGUACCUAAUCAGAAAGCCACGGCUAACUACGUGC
rnacentral:rRNA from 1 species